AGGAGAGAAGACGCCUGUUCUUGCCGGCGUAACAGUCCUACUUGCUGUACAAACCUGGGAUAAUCUUGUUACUCAGAUGAACUGUCUGUUACAUUGAGAGGGUGACCCAUUAUAACUACAUCUUCUCCAAAAGUCACCCCUGGCACUGAACACGAGACCCGGGAAAGUGGAAUGCGGGUGGAAGAACAUGGGCACUUCCGGGCCUUUUCUGGGCAGCGCGUUACCCAGAUGCCGGUGGCGCCCGCCAGGGUGCGCGGGCCGAGGCUCCGUGCGAGCGAACGGGCGCUCGGGUUUCCUUACGCCCGGGAGCCUGUGUUUAGGCUGGAAAAGAAUGCCAUGCAAACACACGGCUUCAGCGCCCUGAAGAUGGGUAAGCUCUUUUUUGAUAUUGAACUUUUAAUAAAAAAAUAAGGAUUCUGUCUA